rfam:Ktedonobacter racemifer DSM 44963 strain SOSP1-21 Krac_Contig205, whole genome shotgun sequence.
GUCAGGUACCCCAUGCCUCUGCGGCAGGGGCUUGUUUCGGCAAGUCUGGACUUGACCAGAUUCAGCCAUGAGCCUUUUGUUUCGGCAAGAGGUUAUCGGGCUACGAUAGUCGGGGAGUGUUUGCGUUCCUACCUACGGGUGCGUGCCAGCCUGUAGCUCUAGAAUUCCUGGGUUAAACAGCAAAACGGGGUGUUAUGCAGUGCUCGGGAAAAAGUACCGCCCACUAUCCUUAUCGAGGCAACCAUUAC